UACAGAGACCUCAAACGUUGUCCGGAUUUAUUGGGCGUAAAGGGUCCGCAGGCGGCUUUGCACGUCGAUGGUCAAAUCAUCGGGCUCAACCCGGUGGCUGCCGUCGAUACGACAAAGCUAGAGUAUGGGAGAGGUAAGCGGAAUUGCCGGUGUAGUAGUAAAAUGCGUUCAUAUCGGCAAGAACACCAAAUGCGAAGGCAGCUUACUGGAACAUUACUGACGCUCAGGGACGAAAGCGUGGGGAGCGAAAGGG
rnacentral:rRNA from 1 species